ACUCAAAUGAAUUGACGGGGGCCCGCACAAGCGGUGGAGCAUGUGGUUUAAUUCGACGCAACGCGCAGAACCUUACCAGCCCUUGACAUGGUGGUUAAAGCGGUCGAGAGGCCGUGUCCCGCAAGGGGGCCAUCACAGGUGCUGCAUGGCUGUCGUCAGCUCGUGUCGUGAGAUGUUGGGUUAAGUCCCGCAACGAGCGCAACCCUUACCUCUAGUUGCCAGCGGGUUGGGCCGGGCACUCUAGAGGGACUGCCGGUGACAAGCCGGAGGAAGGUGGGGAUGACGUCAAGUCCUCAUGGCCCUUACGGGCUGGGCUACACACGUGCUACAAUGGUGGUGACAGUGGGCAGCGAGGGGGCGACCUCUAGCUAAUCUCCAAAAGCCACCUCAGUUCGGAUUGCAGGCUGCAACUCGCCUGCAUGAAGGUGGAAUCGCUAGUAAUCGCGGAUCAGCACGCCGCGGUGAAUACGUUCCCGGGCCUUGCACACACCGCCCGU
rnacentral:rRNA from 1 species